CUUCCAAUCCCCAUGCACCAGCAUUUCCCUGCAGCAGCCUCAUUAAGGGCUGGUUUCAAAGCUCCUUCACAGGAGAGGAUAAUGAUGCCAAGGAAGAGCAGAUUUCUUGGGGGAAAGGGCAGGAGAGCGCUGUGAGCCUAAUGUGGAAACAGGCUCCCACUCCUGUCUCCACCACAAGAAGGCCAGAGAAGAGAACUGGGUCCGGGAAAGAGGGUCAUGGCUCUUCUUCUCUGUCCCAGCUGGCGCUCAGGAUUGUAAGAAGCAAAAAGCAUAUGUAAUUGGCAAAACAAAAAGAGGGUGAGACAAGGAAGUUGAUGCUGACUGUCCAUCCUUGGAAGUGUGUCCAGAACCAUGGGAGCCAUAUGGCCACCAGCUGGAGAAUAAAGCCAACGUGGGAGAUGAUGGAGCUGAUGAAAAUACCCAGGACUAGAACAAAGCUGAAAGUACCAUGCCCAGACAUCACUGGAAGACACACAGCAUGAGUCUAAGUAUUAAACCAGUUUUACUGAUGGAGAAAAUGAGGCCUAGAGCUGUGAUUUGCUGGGGGAGCCAGAACAAGGAAAAGCUUGGGGUCCCAGAAAACACAGAUUCAUCCCAGAGGCAAAGGCUUAAUCACACCAGAGUUACAACAAUAGAUUCAUCUGCUGAUGGACAUACUGGAUGUGCUACUUCUAAAGUUGAGCAAUCGUGAAUUGUGCUGCUAUAAACGACAAAUCGGGGAGAGAGAGAGAUGGAGAAGUCAGGUAAUUGGAGGAAAAGUAGUUCUAUCCCCGAGGAGCUGAUUGAGGUCCUGGCUUUGGAUUGUUUCCCGGAAGAACUGCGUUGCCCUCUGCUCCUUGGUUCACCUGAUUUAUAACCACUCACAGGCAUGUCGGGGGUCUUUGGACCUUGGCCUCCAGGCAGACUGCUCAGAGAAGGGAAGAGGACAGACUACAAGGCAGAGCCUCUGAGCAGACGCAAGAAAGGCCCUGGGAGACUGGAGCCAUGCCUAACACCAGCCCCUGCCCACAUUCCCCGUCGGAUGGGGCUUGUGCUGGGGUCUGCCUGGAUCGCCUGCUCAUCCACGAGGCAGGGAAGAAGCAGCACGCGGCUCCUCUCCCACUCAGGACGUGGGCUGUACACUGCACUUCUUUGGGCUUCAGCUUCUGCAUCGGGACAUGAAGUUAUGCGCAAGGCCCUGAGAUGAAGAUUUUUGAGGCAAGUGAUUCUCAAGGAACUUCUGAAACAAGAACCCAGAAAGCAGAAAAGGAAGAGGAAGAAGAUGCCAAGAAAGGGCACAGUUUCAGGAGAUCUUGCCUGCUCAGCACUGUCCCGUGGGAACUGUGAGAUGCAUUGACUCCACAUACAGUGGACUCUCGAGUUAGACUGGACUAACAUAUGAACGACUUGGGUUAUGACCGGAAUUUUAGUUUUAACUUAUAACCAAAGUCUUGAGUUACCAUCCAAAUGCCUGCCACUUGUUCUUCCAGAUGGUCUCAGAUACAAAUUUAACCCUUAAAGAGUGCUGGAGGGAAUAUGACAACAUCCUUUUCUGUGUGGGGUUCACUGAGAAAUCCUGGGCCAAUGUCUCUCUAAGGACACUGAGAUCUGCCAGUGUACAGGAGAGAGACUUUGAGGGCUGUGUAGAGGAGGCUGACCCUUCAAUUGACCAACUUGAGUUACAGCCAGCGAACUGAGUUUGUAAGUCAAGGGUCCAUGGUAUUUUAUUCUGUCUCAAGGUGAAUCCUCUAGGCUUUCAUAGUCUCUAGUGCUCAGGGCCAUUGACUCUCGCUCCCGCACAGACUUCUAGCUUGCAGUGCCCUGGGCAGUUCUCUGCAGAAGGGAGCGGGGGAUGGGCACAGAGAGACAAACAAGCAGAAGGAUCCUAGUCAGAGCUCUGGUAAGCUUCUGUGAUAACUGCCUUGCUGCAGGGUUGGAGAUUAUCAACCUGAAGGUUUCAUCUUUGCACAAGAUUGAACUGACCAAUUGCGACAGAAAAGCCAGUGGAGAAAUAAAGUCAGGAGUGAAUGACCGAAUGGUCUUUCCUGGAAAAGGCUAGGUCUUCAGUGUAACCUCUCCACAUUUUAUGUGAAAUAGGUGCUUUGUUCCCAGUGUUGGCAGAAGGGAGAUGUGGGAGAUUUGUGGACAAUGAAGUGAGGAGUGGAUUCCUUGGGGAAGGACUCAGAUCCUAGUUAAAUCUUGGAAUCGAUGAGUCAUGGCUAUGUCACAGCAGAGCGUUUGGGUUGUGAAACUGAGUGUGUUCUUCCUGGCGGGCCUAUUCGGUCACCCUCAAUCCUUGUCCCCAAGCGCAGUCCCUUCUGUCCUGGAGUUCUUUGCUCCUAACUGCGUUUGAUCUUCAUGACAUCUUGUGAGGCAGCAAGAUCAGCUGUUUUCCAGAUGAGUAAACUGAGGCCAGAUAGGUUAACUUCUUGUUCCUCAAAUUCAGCAGCACAUUGCAAUCAUUUGCUGGAGUUUUGUAAACUGUUACUUGGAAUGCUUGUGUAUGAGGACCAAUUGCUGUUUUUAAAACAGUUCCCAAGGUGAUCCUGAAAUACAGCCAGAUCUGGAAAAAGAGGGAUUACAUGACAUUUCCAGUGUCCUGAGAGAAUAAGAGAACACUCAUUCUUGGGUCAUUAAUCUAUCCUUUUCACUCAUUCACCCAUUUAUGGAGCAUUUACUGCGAAUACUAGGAAUGCAACAGUCAGAAGUGGAACAGUGACAAUUCUGCUGGCAUCUUAAGAGAUUACAGGUGGGAAGGUUGGGGCAUCAGGUGAGAGGAACACAGUGUAGCACUGUGGUGUUCCCACGAAACUGUCCAUGCUGUCAGGCAGACGGACCCGCUAUGAACUUGGGGAUAAGAGAGACAUUGAACUAAUCAUUCCGAAAGUGAUCAAAAUUCCUAAAACUCAAGUUUUCAUGCAUUUGGGGAACGAUAAUGUCAAUCAUCUUCACACACAGGAGAGUCGCUGGCCAUGUUGGGCCAUUGGCACCGUCUGUGAAGAGAAUCAAAUCUGCUGUUAUACACAUCAAAUGCCC
rnacentral:lncRNA from 1 species